rnacentral:rRNA from 1 species
CCCUUAGAUGGUCUGGGCGGCACGCGCGCUGCAAUGAUGCAUUCAAAAAGUCUUCUGACCUUAGAAGGUUGGGUAUUCUCCAAAGUGCAUCGUGAUGGGAAUAGUUUAUUGCAAUUUUUAAUCUUGAACGAGGAAUUCCUAGUAAGUACAGGUCAUCAACUUGUGUUGAUUACGUCCCUGCCCUUUGUACACACCGCCCGUCGCUCCUACCGAUUGAGUGGUCCGGUGAGGCUUUGGGAUCUGAGCGGAAAGAGCGUUUCGCUGUUUCUGCUCGGAAAACUCAGUCGAACCUUAUCAUUUAGAGGAAGGAGAAGUCGUAACA